rnacentral:tRNA from 3 species
GGAAGGGUGCCGGAGUGGUCUAUCGGCCCGGUCUUGAAAACCGUGGAGGACGAAAGUCCUACGCGAGUUCGAAUCUCGCCCCUUCCG